AGGGGUGUAGCCAAGUGGUAAGGCAGUGGUUUUUGGUGCCGCCAUACGCAGGUUCGAACCCUGCCACCCCUG
rnacentral:tRNA from 1 species